CCCACCUCACGUCCAAAAAAAACCACCCCACCCCCCCCGCUGCCCCGAUCCCCACCUUGACCUCCCUCGAUCCCCUCCCCCGAGCGCCGCCACCCUCGCUCGAUCUCGCCGCCCUGCGCGCCUCCUCCAGCUGGCCGACCUAUCCAAGGCGCCCCCCCGGACCUACCAGCGCGGGGUCGCUGGGCGCCGCCCACGCCACCGGGAACCUGUUGCCGCACUUCCGCCAUGGCCGCACGCUCCUCCGUGGCCCAAUCGUCGCCGCCGCCGGGGAUCCUCGAGCACCAUCAUCCUGGCACGCAGUCCAUGGCCGCCUCCCCAUGCAGUCCCUUUCUUGCUGCCGGCAGAAAUCCUGUCAAUCCCUUCCUCUUGUCCUUCUCUUCCUCCAGUGAUCUUUGUUGGAUCCUGCUGCCGUCAACACCAGGCAUCGGAACCCCGGCCCUGCACUCCAUCACCGCGCCCUGUCUUCUUCUUGCUGCAGCUGCUCCACAUCACGUCCGUCCACCGUCGUGAUGCCCCCAACUCGUCUGCUUUCCCCAACCGCUGCUGGGUGACCUUCUCGCAAAGGCCAGCUCGACCUUCUCAAGGAAGGUUACUUCCCGAGGAUCCGGCUCGCAAGGUGCACACCAUCUCGUCCUAGUUGCUGCUGUGUGAAGAUCCGCUGGCCUGAAGACGCAAGAGGUAGUCUUUCUAGCUAAUGCUAAUGCUAUUUUCUUCCUCCUAAUGAAGUCGACGCCUUGAUUUUGAUGGAUAAGCAAGAACAGAGGAAGAUACAGAGCAUGAGUAGAACAUGGACUGCUCGCACGCGCCGCCAUGGACUGCUCCGCUGCCAUCCCUACUGACUGAACUCAUCUUAAGACUUUUAUUCACAGAUAUAACGGACUGGUUCGUACAAGUUACCAGUAUUAUUACAAUUAUAAAACAACAAGUUGCAGGUGUCAUCAGUUUGAUAGUUUAAUAGGCUUUUUUCUGGACAAGAAUCACCCAUCCCCGCGCAUAUCCGAAUCUCUCGAUCCACAACUAGCUAGUCAUUAGAUCUUAUAGCAAGAUGCCAACUUUUCUAUUGUUUACCAAAAGGAAAAAUAACUAUGUUUAAGUGUUCCGCUGAUGAUCAGGGGAUUGGGAGACAGACAUAUAAACUUGUCUUCAGAAACAGAUCACAAGCAAACAAACUGAAAUCUGUUUUUCUCACAGGUUAAUUGGUAGUAGUCCUAUUUUCAAUCCCAGAGCACCUGCCUGCCUGGGUUUGGGGGACUGAGUAGUCCUGCUUCUCACAGGUUUUGUUUUGUUUAUUUGUCACUUCAUUUUCUCGCUAUUUUUUCAGACCUAUUUGCCCAGCAAAAUGCUGCACUUUCGGUGCAAAACCGUCAAAGAUGAACUCAACAAUCUUCGAGGCGACGGCACAACCAAAAGGUACGAGGAGUGGGACCGUGUGUACCGCUAUGACUACUACAACGACCUCGGUGAGCCGGACAAGGGCUAUCCGCGCCCGGUUCUCGGCGGCACCCAAGAACUACCCUAUCCCCGUCUUGGCAGAACUGGCCGACCCCCAACAAAAACAGACCCUAGAUUGGAGAGCAGAAUUCCUCAGUACAAGAUAUAGGAGGCCCUCAACAUCACUGUCCCGCGUGAUGGUAUUUAUGCAUCUUCCUAGUUGCUACGGCAAUGCUGGAUUUAAUCAUCCUAGGAGAGAAGAAGCAAAAAGACAAUCAAAGUGUGAGAGAACACGUACAAUGAUGAGAGGACAAAAAAUGUGUGGUGGUGAAUAGCUCCACCGCAUUGCCAUUUGGCCCCAUUUUACCCAUUUAGCCAGUGUCCUCUUCAAAGUGUUAAUCUUUAAAGAUAAUGGAACCAAUUUCUUUAGUAUGUACUUACAAUUGCAACUCUGGGCGUCUGUGUAAUGUUUGUAAACUUGUAAAGAAAAUGGAAGUUCAGGGCGAAA